CAAACGGGUGAGUAACACGUGGGAACACGCCUUCGAGUGGGGAAUAACGCUGAGAAAUCAGUGCUAAUACCGCAUAUGGUCUAACGACUAAAGCAGCAAUGCGCUCGGAGAGUGGCCCGCGUCCGAUUAGCUAGUUGGUGGGGUAAUGGCCUACCAAGGCGGUGAUCGGUAGCUGGUCUGAGAGGACGGCCAGCCACACGGGGACUGAGACACGGCCCCG
rnacentral:rRNA from 1 species